AUUAGAUACGCAUCCAGCGUUCCUGACGUCACCAGCUGUUGUGAGCCGCGCCGGACACCUGUGCCGUACCUUGACGGAGGAUUCAGCUCGAGAAAGGAGCAGAUUCUAAAUCCAGGAGACUCUACUCCUCUCUCUACUUCUCCUCUACCCCCCCUCUCACCUUGAUGAUAGAGACAAAGCUGGAAGACUCUACAGAUGUGUCCUGGCCCUCAGGUGGAGCAAAGUCAUCAUCCAGACAGCAAAGAUCUUCUUCCAGGGCGGCACCAUAUUCCAUCUUCAUCCGGUAAUCGUUACAUCCAUCUAAAAAUAGCUGACGCCGGCUUUUUUGGGUGACGCUGCAUAUGUGAUCAAGCCUAAUGUACUGUAUUUAGCAUGGAUGAAGACCACGUGUCAAUAUCAGGAGGACACUUUCAUAGUUAAA